GGGAAUAUUGCACAAUGGGCGAAAGCCUGAUGCAGCGACGCCGCGUGAGUGAAGAAGUAUUUCGGUAUGUAAAGCUCUAUCAGCAGGGAAGAUAAUGACGGUACCUGACUAAGAAGCCCCGGCUAACUACGUGCCAGCAGCCGCGGUAAUACGUAGGGGGCAAGCGUUAUCCGGAUUUACUGGGUGUAAAGGGAGCGUAGACGGCAUGGCAAGUCUGAAGUGAAAACCCAGGGCUCAACCCUGGGACUGCUUUGGAAACUGUCAAGCUAGAGUGCAGGAGAGGUAAGUGGAAUUCCUAGUGUAGCGGUGAAAUGCGUAGAUAUUAGGAGGAACACCAGUGGCGAAGGCGGCUUACUGGACUGUAACUGACGUUGAGGCUCGAAAGCGUGGGGAGCAAACAG
rnacentral:rRNA from 1 species